UCAGAGUGACUUUGUUUCAUGAUACGAUUUAUCAUGAAAGCGAAUGCUAUGUGGAUGACAUGACAGCAGAAGGGGCAUCUGGUGGAUCUGGCCAAGUUAUUUGACCGGAUCGAGACAACUCAGACUGAGGUUGAGUCCGAAUUAGUGCACUUGUGGAGUGUUGUCCGGUAAACUGCUGAGGUUUAUUGUGAGCGGAUAAGAGGAAUCGAGGUCGAUCCUGCUAAAAAAAAAAGAAAAAAAG
rnacentral:lncRNA from 1 species